UGGCGAACGGGUGAGUAACACGUGGGUGAUCUGCCAUGCACUUCGGGAUAAGCCUGGGAAACUGGGUCUAAUACCGGAUAGGACGAUGGUUUGGAUGCCAUUGUGGAAAGUUUUUCGGUGUGGGAUGAGCUCGCGGCCUAUCAGCUUGUUGGUGGGGUAAUGGCCUACCAAGGCGUCGACGGGUAGCCGGCCUGAGAGGGUGUACGGCCACAUUGGGACUGAGAUACGGCCCAG
rnacentral:rRNA from 1 species